CCAGUCUCCAGGCUACCUAAUGAGCGCAGUUGGCCUGUAGUAGGCUGCCUGAUUGGCUACAUUGCAUGAUCGAUUGGAAGAGUCAGCAGUCUAGUGCUUAAGCCCAGUGGCUGCUCAAAGCAUUUGCUCAUGGCUCUAUGUCUGCUUGUUUCUAGUCCUGCCCCUGCCUCAUUCCAGGUAACCUGGUCCUGACCUUUGGUGCUGAUUGGUGCUCCAGCCACUGAGUGUGACUACCGAUGACCUGGUUGCUUGAGAGCUACCCUCAUUCCCCUUCUCCUCUUCAUCCAAUUCAAGGACAAGGGAGGAAGUACUGGGUGUGCAGCUACUUUUCUUUUCCUGCACCUGAAGCAGAGAUGUGGUCUGGCAUCUUUGAGAGGCACUACAUUCCUAUCAGGAAGGAUAAUAAAAAGAAACAAAUGCAGUAAAGUCAAAA